rnacentral:lncRNA from 1 species
AUGAGGGGCCUCCGCUCCCCAUGCAUUCGUGCAAGCCUGCGUGCACCCAAGGGUCAAGGGGGGUCACCCCCGCAGUGGGGUUCACUCUCCCCGAGGUCUCCCCAGAGACAAAGGCCCCAGUCCCUCCCGNCCCGCCCCGCCCCCCCUUACCAGGGUUUUGGCUACGUUCCCCCUCUGGGUGAUGUUUUUGCUGUGCUUCUCGUUGGCCAUCCGGAUCCGCUGCUUGGCCACCAUGGCUGGGCGCUAGCCCCCGGCACGAGCCCCCGCGACCGCGACCCGGCGGCGGGCGACAGCGACAGCGACAGGGACAGGGCGGCCGCGGGCGCUGCAGGUGGCAGAUUUUAUUUAUUUAUUCAUGAGACAGAGAGAGGGAGAGGCAGGCUCCAUGCAGGGAGCCCGACGUGGGACUCCAUCCCUGGACUCCAGGAUCACACCAUGGGGCCAAAAGCAAGUGCUAAACUACUGAGCCACCCAGGGAUCCCCCCUGAAACCCGUUCUUAACUGAGAAGCCUGCCUUCCCACAGGCUCAGAGGUUAUUUGUGUUGUUUACAUCCAAGAACCCUGACUCAUGUGCAUGAAAAUCAACAACAACAACAACAAACCAGAAAGUCUUGGCUUGGUCAUUUCCCUUUCCAAAUCUGGAAUGAUUGUCAUGUCACUUGAAGCCUUCAGACACUGUUAGCCAGUGGUCCUUCCUCACCAAGGGGAACUGAGCCUAGAGGCCUUGGUGACAAGUGUGGGCAGCCAGUUCUCGAGUAUGAAUGGGGAUGAUUGGCAGACACACCUGCUUACAUAAAACCAGCAAAUCACCAACACUUCAAAUUGAGACUUUGUUUCUCCUUCAUCGAAACGAUUUCCAGUACUGGCAGAGAAGAGAAAAAUUGGGCAGAUUUCAACAUCAUCUCCUUUCGUACAUGUUAUAUUCUGGUGCAAAUGUUCGUGACGGUGUCUCAAUAGGAAGCAGAGGAAAAUAAGAAGAGAACUGACAGCCAGUGUUAUCUGCUGCAUGCCUUGGAAUCAACUCAAGGCACUCGAUUAUGAUUUCAUGGAAUCAUGCCACAUUGUCACUGGAAGGAACCUCAAGAGUCAUUUGUUCGGUGUUUAUUGAGUAUCUACUGUAGGCCAGACACUAUUUUAGACUCUGAGAAUUCGAUGGCUGAUAGAAGGGCUUCUGCCUUCAGGGAGCUCUCAGUUGUGUGACGGAGACAAAGAAGUAAACAGUGGGAGACGGCCCCAAUUUCACAAGUGAGCUCAAGCCCAGGAAUUGCAAGGAAAACUGUAGCAGAACUGAAAGCAGAAUUGAGGCCUCUUGGCUUUCCAUUUUCUCAAGAGAAACGUUUACCAGGUAAACUUAAGAGGGAGCCAGGGUGACAGGGCCAAGCUUUGGAGCAGCUUAUACGUACACAAAAAUAAAUCACACACACACGCAAGCA